GGGAUUGUAGUUCAGUGGUAGAGCAUCUGCUUAGCAUGCAGAAGGUCCCAGGUUCGAUCCCCAGCAUCUCCA